CCAAUAGCGUAUAUUAAAGUUGUUGCAGUUAAAAAGCUCGUAGUUGAAUUUCGGGGUUCUACCGUCGGUCGGGCUAACAAGUCUGUACUGGUGUGUAGAAUUUCUACCUUCUGGGGAACUAUCAUGUUAUUAAUUUAGCGUGGUGGGAAACCAGGACCUUUACCUUGAAAAAAUUAGAGUGUUCAAAGCAGGCUUACGUCUGAAUACAUUAGCAUGGAAUAAUAGAAUAGGGCGGUGGUCCUGUUUUGUUGGUUUCUGAAUCACCGUAAUGAUUAAUAGGGAUAGUUGGGGGCAUUAGUAUUCAAUUGUCAGAGGUGAAAUUCUUGGAUUUAUUGAAGACUAACUUCUGCGAAAGCAUUUGCCAAGGAUGUUUUCAUUAAUCAAGAACGAAAGUUAGGGGAUCGAAGACGAUCAGAUACCGUCGUAGUCUUAACCAUAAACUAUGCCGACUAGGGAUCGGACGAUGUUAAAUUUUAUUGACUCGUUCGGCGCCUUACG
rnacentral:rRNA from 1 species